ACCCCCCUUCUGUGCGAAGCCUAUUCUCAUUUCUCUUCACAAGAAACACCACCCCCUCCAACGUCUCUCGCUCUGACCCCCUCCCACUCCGUUUCAAAUUCCCAGCACACACCUCCACCAGCCACCACUUCUGAAUCCACCGCCGCCACCACCCACCGCGCCGCCGCGCGGCCACCGCGAAGCCCUAUCUCCUCUCUCAUCCCUUCUCUGUUCCCCAUUCCGGAUUCUCUUCUCCGCCACCACCAAACCGCCGCGGCGCCAGCCUCGUCACCGGUGCCGUCUCAACUAUCACCACCUCCGCUUCGCCGCGACCGCCAUUCCCCUCCCCCUGUUCUGUCGAUUGCCUUCGAGCAGCAGGAACAGGGCAUCUCCCCUGUUUCUUAGCCCUGCAACACGGCGCUACCCUUCUUCUUCGCCGCUUUAGUCUCUGAGUAUCAUCGCUGGUGCCGCCACUUUGGCCGGCCGCUUCCACCUUCUUCUCCCCUUCCCUUCCUCUGCUCUAAUUCUGCUUCUCAGAUGGCUGACAGAAAAGGAAAGGGUAAGGCCACAAGCUCCGGCAAAAGGAAGCGAACUUCUCAGUCCGCUGAUACCUCUGAUGCUGCAUUCAAUGCAAGGCGUAUCAGUGGGAGUGAUAGAGAAGCUCAGAAUACAGCUCCCACUGAUAAACAUAAGUUCAGCAAUGCAUAUUCGAAGCGGAAGUUUGAAAGGUUCCUAAAAAGGAACUUACAUGUUGAGCGGGAACUCCAUCUCCCGGAUGAGUUGAGCCAGUAUACGGAUGAUCGGAUUGCUUAGUGGGGUUGGAGUUUCAUAGGUCGGGAGCUUCCAACGGUGAAUGAAUCAUGGGUCAAAGAAUUUUAUGCGAACUACUACACUGGGGCCCUUGAUGCAGUUUACCUGAGAGGUCAGCAGAUUCUGGUCAUUGAGGAGACAAUUGAGCAUGCCCUCCACCUUGAGCUUGGACCGAGUGGUAAAGAUGCAUAUGAAGAGGCUGAAGGUGAUAGGCACAUGAAGACUUUUGAUUGGGACCAAGUCUUAGCUGUGAUUGCUGAGCCUGGGAGUCGGUGAAUAUAUGGUGCUGAUAAGACGACUCCCUUGGGUAUUCGUGUCCGUUCUUUGACAUAUAAGGCCCGUAUUUGGCAGCAGCUGCUGUCUAACUAUGUGAUGCCAAGCACCCUUGAGACGAGGGUUAUUGCAGAUAUGGCUGUUAUGGUCUGGUGUGUCUUGGAGGGCCGUGAGUUACACCUUCCACGGCACAUUAGACGGUCCAUGGGGCGGCCUCACUAUGUGGGCAACCUAGCCUUCCCGUGCUUGAUUACUCAGCUAGCUACAGAGGCUGGGGUUCUUUGGAUGACUACUGAUCAGAGACCGACAGUCGCCGGCCAUAAGAAGAUCACUCCACAUGGCGACUAGCCGGGACUUGAGCUAGCACUUGGACGACGCAGCAAACGGACACCAGCACCUUCUACAGAGGUGGGACCUUCCACAUCAGUCCCUUCAGCUUCAGCACCUACCGAUGCAGCACCCCCAGCAUUCCUACAGCCACUCUUUAGCCUGAUCCACCAGUUGUCUGACAACAUAGCCAGUUCAGAGCGUCGCAACCAGUGACGUUUUGAACAGAUAGAGCAUCGCAGCCAGCGACGCUAUGAGCAUUUGAGGAGGCUUAUUCUCUCCGGCGGUGUUGACAUUCCACCUGAGCCUGACACUCCACCUGAGCGUUCUGAGGAGGCCCGAGACCCACCAGCAGAUAGAGGAGCCGAUGAUAGUGACGAGUCUUUCCACUCCGCUUGAUCUGAGCACCGAGGACGGUGCUACAUUUUAAGUGUGGGGAGGUUGUCCUUCAGCAGCACAUUUUGGGUGAAAAAUUUCAUUUCCGAACACUUUUGGUGUAGUUUUUUCUUAUUAUGCUUUUUAGUUGCUUUGUAUAUAUUUUAUCCUUUUUGAAAACCUUCUUUAUUUAGUUUAUUACUUUUUACUUAUUGCACUUUUUAAUUUUGCUUGUACAUAAAUUAGUAUUAUAUAGUAGUUAUGCAUAUUUUGA